UGCAAGUCGAGGGGUAACAGGAGUGCUUGCACUUGCUGACGACCGGCGCACGGGUGCGGAACGCGUAUGGAACCUACCUUUGUCAGGGGAAUAGCCCAGAGAAAUUUGGAUUAAUGCCCCAUGGUAUCAUUAUGUUGCAUAACAUUAUGAUUAAAGAUUUAUCGGACAAAGAUGGCCAUGCGUACCAUUAGUUAGUUGGUAAGGUAACGGCUUACCAAGGCAGCGAUGGUUAGGGGCCCUGAGAGGGGGAUCCCCCACACUGGUACUGAGACACGGACCAGACUCCUACGGGAGGCAGCAGUGAGGAAUAUUGGACAAUGGAGGAGACUCUGAUCCAGCCAUGCCGCGUGCAGGAUGACGGCCCUAUGGGUUGUAAACUGCUUUUAUACGGGAAGAAACGCACCUACGUGUAGGUGUCUGACGGUACCGUAAGAAUAAGGACCGGCUAACUCCGUGCCAGCAGCCGCGGUAAUACGGAGGGUCCGAGCGUUAUCCGGAAUCAUUGGGUUUAAAGGGUCCGUAGGCGGGCCUGUAAGUCAGAGGUGAAAGUUUGUGGCUCAACCAUAAAAUUGCCUUUGAUACUGCAGGUCUUGAGUUAUAGUGGAGUUGCCGGAACAUGUGGUGUAGCGGGUGAAAUGCAUAGGUAUCACAUAGAACACCGAUCGCGAAGGCAGGUGACUAACUAUAUACUGACGCUGAUGGACGAAAGCGUGGGGAGCGAACGGGAUUAGAUACCCCGGUAGUCCACGCCGUAAAC
rnacentral:rRNA from 1 species